AAGCCAUGAUGAGGGCACUGUCUUUUUAGACUCUUGAAUCUAUCUCAUGCUUUAAAUAAUGAUUCUCUAUCUGCCUGAGAAAAGUUGGUGAUGUAAUUCCUCAUAU